rnacentral:lncRNA from 1 species
UUUUUUUAAAAUAUACUGCAGUGCCAACAAAGAAUGUGCAAUGACAAGAAAUGAGUUAUUGUUUGAAAAUCAAAAAUGUUAAAUGUUCACAUUGUUUUUAUUUGAACAGCAAUUUUCAGAUCUCAGGACAAGUUUUCUUUGGAACACAUUAUAAAUUUUUGUUUUUCAAAUGAUUUCAACUGACAUAAACAAGACUGGAAAGGUCGAAAUUACCAAAAUGCUAAUUUCACUAUUAUUGGUUCUUUUGUCGUGCCCAGCUCUUAAUGAUGGAAAACCCUGUAUCACAGUAACAUUCCUUUAAAUGAACUGGAGAAGUCUUGAUUACAAUAAUCAUAUUGCUUUUUACUUUUCAACACUAUUGGAUCUUGUGUCAUACCAGCUUUAGAUGGUGGAUGGAGUAUAUGGAGGUGUUAAGAAUUGCACAAGAGGUGUUCCUGCUACCUCUCUAUAUGUAGACAAUGUCACUGUUGUUGUGACGUUCUCAUUUCUAAGCCUUAAUUUAUGUCCGUUACAACGCCCUUAGGGAGAAAAACUACACCCUCAAAUGGACUGUAGAAGUCCAGAUUACAAUAAUGGUACUUUCAGCACCAUUGCACGGUUUGGUUGUCUUGCCCAGCUCUUAAUGGUCCAAAAUGCUGUACAAUGGAUUAUGUUUUAAAAAUUGAAGAUAAAAGAUUAAGUUUUGAAUAUCUUCUUUUUUUCUCUGAAGAUGGCAAAUCAAAUUAUUAAUUCACGAGCUCUAGAUAAUAAAAAUAUCAGGUGUUAAAGUUUGGAGGUAUAAACAAGUCAUUCUCAAUCAAAAUAUUGCAAAAUUGUAAUGUUAGUGGAUUUUCUCAUUGUUGAAGCCCAUACAGUAACCUAUUUUACAUUAACAUCAUUUGGUCUCUGUAGGAUAGUUGUCUCACAUCUCUUGAUAUCACAACAAAUCAAUUUGUAGGUUCUAUAAAGUGGGCCAAUGGUGAAGGUAGGGGAAAUUUUGACUGUCAAUCGAGGAGGAAAUUAUUGGACAGAAAUUUGGCCUAACGCAACAAGCCAAGUCCUACUAACACCUCAAAAGAGUUGUGACAAGGGUUCUUCAACGUGCAGAGUUGCACUGUCCCUACAGAAAGGACCUAUACUUUUUAAACUGCCAUUCCAAUUUUUUUUGUUUUAAAUAUGAGAACUUUAGAAGACUUAAAGGUGGGGGUCAUAAAAAUAUCAAAAUUAUCCCACCCUCAAUGUUUAUUAUCUAGAACUAUGUUUUCUAUUUUGCUUUCAUAUUAUUUUUUGGUAUUUUCUUUUUUAUAUUUUUUUUUCUUUUUUUUUUUACAAAGCUCUAGAUAAUAAAAAUAUCAGAUGUUAAAGUUUGGAGGUAUAAACAAGUCAUUCUAAAUCAGAAUAUUGCAAAAUUUUAAUGUUAGUGGAUUUUCUCAUUGUUGAAGCCCAUACAGUAACCUAUUUUACAUUAACAUCAUUUGGUCUCUGUAGGAUAGUUGUCUCACAUCUCUUGAUAUCACAACAAAUCAAUUUGUAGGUUCUAUAAAGUGGUCCAAUCCUAUGGUGAAGGGAGGGGGAAUUUUGACUGCCAACCGAAGAGGAUAUUUUUGGACAGAAAUUUAGCCUAUUAAUGCAACAAGCCACAUCCUACUGACACCUCAAAAGAGUUGUGACAAGGGUUCUUUAACGUGCAGAGUGGCACUGUCUGUCCCUACAAAUAGGACCUAUACUUUCCCGCUACCUCUAUGUGUAGACAACAUCACUGUUGUGACAUUCUUAUUUCUAAGCCUUAAUUUAUGUCCGUUACAACGCCCUUAGGGAGGAAAUAGUAGCAGAUAGUAGCAGAUAUUACUACACCCUCAAAUGGAUUGUAGAAGUCCAGUUUACAAUAAUGGUACUUUCAGCACCAUAACCUGCUUUGGUUGUCUUGUCCAGCUCUCAAUGGUCCAAAAUGCUGUACAAUGGAUUAUGAUUUAAAAAUUGAAGAUAAAAGAUUAAGUUUUGAAUAUAUCUACUUUUUUUCUUUGAAGAUGGCAAAUCAAAUUAUUAAUUCAUUAAAAAUUCAGAAUAACUCAAAUCUUUACACCACACAAACGCGACAACAAAGAAUGUGCAAUGAAAAGAAUUGAGUUAUUGUUUGAAACAUCAAAAAUGUUAAAGUUUCACGCAUUGUUUUUUAUUUGAACAGCAAUUUUCAGAUCUCAGGACAAGUUUUCUUUGGAACACACUCAGGACAAGUUAUCUUUGGAAGACAUUAUAAAUUUCUGUUUUGCAAAAGAUUAAAAGUUUUGGAUACUUUCUUUUUUUCUUUGAAGAUAACAAAUCUAAUUAUUAAUUCAUUAAAAAUUCAGACUAACCCAAUUGUUUACACCACACAAACUUUCCGGAGGUAACAUAUUUAUUUUUUGUCCAUUCUUUUUUCUUUCUUUUUUUCUUUUUUUUAAAAUAUACUGCAGUGCCAACAAAGAAUGUGCAAUGACAAGAAAUGAGUUAUUGUUUGAAAAUCAAAAAUGUUAAAUGUUCACAUUGUUUUUAUUUGAACAGCAAUUUUCAGAUCUCAGGACAAGUUUUCUUUGGAACACAUUAUAAAUUUUUGUUUUUCAAAUGAUUUCAACUGACAUAAACAAGACUGGAAAGGUCGAAAUUACCAAAAUGCUAAUUUCACUAUUAUUGGUUCUUUUGUCGUGCCCAGCUCUUAAUGAUGGAAAACCCUGUAUCACAGUAACAUUCCUUUAAAUGAACUGGAGAAGUCUUGAUUACAAUAAUCAUAUUGCUUUUUACUUUUCAACACUAUUGGAUCUUGUGUCAUACCAGCUUUAGAUGGUGGAUGGAGUAUAUGGAGGUGUUAAGAAUUGCACAAGAGGUGUUCCUGCUACCUCUCUAUAUGUAGACAAUGUCACUGUUGUUGUGACGUUCUUAUUUCUAAGCCUUAAUUUAUGUCCGUUACAACGCCCUUAGGGAGGAAAAACUACACCCUCAAAUGGACUGUAGAAGUCCAGAUUACAAUAAUGGUACUUUCAGCACCAUUGCACGGUUUGGUUGUCUUGCCCAGCUCUUAAUGGUCCAAAAUGCUGUACAAUGGAUUAUGUUUUAAAAAUUGAAGAUAAAAGAUUAAGUUUUGAAUAUCUUCUUUUUUUCUCUGAAGAUGGCAAAUCAAAUUAUUAAUUCACGAGCUCUAGAUAAUAAAAAUAUCAGGUGUUAAAGUUUGGAGGUAUAAACAAGUCAUUCUCAAUCAAAAUAUUGCAAAAUUGUAAUGUUAGUGGAUUUUCUCAUUGUUGAAGCCCAUACAGUAACCUAUUUUACAUUAACAUCAUUUGGUCUCUGUAGGAUAGUUGUCUCACAUCUCUUGAUAUCACAACAAAUCAAUUUGUAGGUUCUAUAAAGUGGGCCAAUGGUGAAGGUAGGGGAAAUUUUGACUGUCAAUCGAGGAGGAAAUUAUUGGACAGAAAUUUGGCCUAACGCAACAAGCCAAGUCCUACUAACACCUCAAAAGAGUUGUGACAAGGGUUCUUCAACGUGCAGAGUUGCACUGUCCCUACAGAAAGGACCUAUACUUUUUAAACUGCCAUUCCAAUUUUUUUUGUUUUAAAUAUGAGAACUUUAGAAGACUUAAAGGUGGGGGUCAUAAAAAUAUCAAAAUUAUCCCACCCUCAAUGUUUAUUAUCUAGAACUAUGUUUUCUAUUUUGCUUUCAUAUUAUUUUUUGGUAUUUUCUUUUUUAUAUUUUUUUUUCUUUUUUUUUUUACAAAGCUCUAGAUAAUAAAAAUAUCAGAUGUUAAAGUUUGGAGGUAUAAACAAGUCAUUCUAAAUCAGAAUAUUGCAAAAUUUUAAUGUUAGUGGAUUUUCUCAUUGUUGAAGCCCAUACAGUAACCUAUUUUACAUUAACAUCAUUUGGUCUCUGUAGGAUAGUUGUCUCACAUCUCUUGAUAUCACAACAAAUCAAUUUGUAGGUUCUAUAAAGUGGUCCAAUCCUAUGGUGAAGGGAGGGGGAAUUUUGACUGCCAACCGAAGAGGAUAUUUUUGGACAGAAAUUUAGCCUAUUAAUGCAACAAGCCACAUCCUACUGACACCUCAAAAGAGUUGUGACAAGGGUUCUUUAACGUGCAGAGUGGCACUGUCUGUCCCUACAAAUAGGACCUAUACUUUCCCGCUACCUCUAUGUGUAGACAACAUCACUGUUGUGACAUUCUUAUUUCUAAGCCUUAAUUUAUGUCCGUUACAACGCCCUUAGGGAGGAAAUAGUAGCAGAUAUUACUACACCCUCAAAUGGAUUGUAGAAGUCCAGUUUACAAUAAUGGUACUUUCAGCACCAUAACCCGCUUUGGUUGUCUUGUCCAGCUCUUAAUGGUCCAAAAUGCUGUACAAUGGAUUAUGAUUUAAAAAUUGAAGAUAAAAGAUUAAGUUUUGAAUAUAUCUACUUUUUUUCUUUGAAGAUGGCAAAUCAAAUUAUUAAUUCAUUAAAAAUUCAGAAUAACUCAAAUCUUUACACCACACAAACGCGCCAACAAAGAAUGUGCAAUGAAAAGAAUUGAGUUAUUGUUUGAAACAUCAAAAAUGUUAAAGUUUCACGCAUUGUUUUUUAUUUGAACAGCAAUUUUCAGAUCUCAGGACAAGUUUUCUUUGGAACACACUCAGGACAAGUUAUCUUUGGAAGACAUUAUAAAUUUCUGUUUUGCAAAAGAUUAAAAGUUUUGGAUACUUUCUUUUUUUCUUUGAAGAUAACAAAUCUAAUUAUUAAUUCAUUAAAAAUUCAGACUAACCCAAUUGUUUACACCACACAAACUUUCCGGAUAACAUAUUUAUUUUUUGUCCAUUCUUUUUUCUUUCUUUUUUUAAAAUAUACUGCAGUGCCAACAAAGAAUGUGCAAUGACAAGAAAUGAGUUAUUGUUUGAAAAUCAAAAAUGUUAAAUGUUCACAUUGUUUUUAUUUGAACAGCAAUUUUCAGAUCUCAGGACAAGUUUUCUUUGGAACACAUUAUAAAUUUUUGUUUUUCAAAUGAUUUCAACUGACAUAAACAAGACUGGAAAGGUCGAAAUUACCAAAAUGCUAAUUUCACUAUUAUUGGUUCUUUUGUCGUGCCCAGCUCUUAAUGAUGGAAAACCCUGUAUCACAGUAACAUUCCUUUAAAUGAACUGGAGAAGUCUUGAUUACAAUAAUCAUAUUGCUUUUUACUUUUCAACACUAUUGGAUCUUGUGUCAUACCAGCUUUAGAUGGUGGAUGGAGUAUAUGGAGGUGUUAAGAAUUGCACAAGAGGUGUUCCUGCUACCUCUCUAUAUGUAGACAACGUCACUGUUGUUGUGACGUUCUUAUUUCUAAGCCUUAAUUUAUGUCCGUUACAACGCCCUUAGGGAGGAAAACUACACCCUCAAAUGGACUGUAGAAGUCCAGAUUACAAUAAUGGUACUUUCAGCACCAUUGCACGGUUUGGUUGUCUUGCCCAGCUCUUAAUGGUCCAAAAUGCUGUACAAUGGAUUAUGUUUUAAAAAUUGAAGAUAAAAGAUUAAGUUUUGAAUAUCUUCUUUUUUUCUCUGAAGAUGGCAAAUCAAAUUAUUAAUUCACGAGCUCUAGAUAAUAAAAAUAUC